CCAGACUCCUACGGGAGGCAGCAGUGGGGGAUAUUGCACAAUGGGGGGAACCCUGAUGCAGCGACGCCGCGUGGGUGAAGGAGCGUUUCGGCGCGCAAAGCCCUAUCGGCAGGGAAGAAGGAGGACGGUACCUGACUAAGAAGCCCCGGCUAACUACGUGCCAGCAGCCGCGGGAAUACGUAGGGGGCAAGCGUUAUCCGGAUUUACUGGGUGUAAAGGGGGCGCAGACGGCAGCGCAAGCCAGGAGUGAAAGCCCGGGGCCCAACCCCGGGACUGCUCUUGGAACUGCGCGGCUGGAGUGUCGGAGAGGCAGGCGGAAUUCCUAGUGUAGCGGUGAAAUGCGUAGAUAUCAGGAGGAACACCGGUGGCGAAGGCGGCCUGCUGGACUGCAACUGACGUUGAGGCCCGAAAGCGUGGGGAGCAAACAGGAUUAGAUACCCCCGUA
rnacentral:rRNA from 1 species